UUCCAUCGAGGUUAUGCUAACUUUUGGUAAUCUGCUUAAUUUUUGCUAUGGUGGUGAUGCUUGGAGUGAAUCGGUUUUUUAUUUUUAUUUUUGUUGGAAGC